UUAUGAGGGCACCGACUUCAGCGAGAUCUCCUUUCUGUGCUGCUCUAUGCAAGGGCGUCAAGCACUGCAUCUGGAUCACCUCCUGCACAGGCAAAGUACAGUAUCUGGUUAACAGCGAUGACCAGCGAAAGAAUUCAGGGUUUAAAUACGUGACAUGAAGGUCACAAGUUCCAAGAUCUCCGAAAUACCGAGCCUUGACACUUCCUGCCUCUACUGGCAGCAACAAUCCAGAAGAUGUCUUCGUUGAAAAGACAUGAUUCCAGGUCCUCAUGAUACAACGAGAUGUUAUCAAUAUCUUUAAUUACUUCCAAAGUCAGUUAAGGCAGCAUAAAGCCCCAGACUUUAAGAAACACCGCUCACCUUAUACAGGCUGGUGUCAGUCGUCUUCCAAGCAGUCGCCUUGCGUUCCUAGAUCGGUUAUAGACAUACGCAGAAAACGGAUCAGCAUCUGAAGCGGCUGUCAAUAUAACGUCAACAGGCUCUUGAGAGAACAAAGCACGUCGGGAUUGCUGACACAGGCGCCACUGCAAAGACACGCGAGGAAGGCAACAGUCUGAGGAUCUUUCUUCAGCACCAAUCCUAGUACUAAACAUGAAAGGUAUGUGAUCUCAAUUUAAAGGA
rnacentral:lncRNA from 1 species